CAUUAAAUAAUUGUCUCUAAUAUUUUACCUGUUUUUACUCACUAAUUGUAGAUUAGUACUUACUUAAAGUGCAAAUUAAAUUCAAAUUUACAUUAUUUCAGGUUUCGAAUAGGCCUACUGUAGACGCAGGUGAUUUAUUUUGUGUCUUUUGGGACGAACAUUCGACACCGAGUACGUGGUCUACUCAAGGCUGCUCUGUCAGUUCCAGUAAUUUGUCACACACCUUUUGCAAAUGUAACCAUCUCACCAGUUUUACUGUUUUGUUUGCUCUUGAAGAAAACAAGAAGGACUCGCUACUAUCUACUGUCUUACUUACCUGUUCAUUGAUUUGUCUCGCGGCCUCUGGAAUCAUUUUCAUUUACGUUGGGUAUGUUGACCAAUCGAAAAAAAUAUUUUUAUAUAUACACAUCAUACAAGAAUCAUGCAUUAUGUAUUAUAAACAUAUAUCUAUUGUAAAAUAGCCAAAGUUGGUACUUACCGUUAUAGGUAUAUGUUUCCCGCUUGGACUAUAGUGCAAU